rnacentral:rRNA from 1 species
UACGUAGGGUGCGAGCGUUGUCCGGAAUUACUGGGCGUAAAGAGCUCGUAGGUGGUUUGUCGCGUUGUUCGUGAAAACUCACAGCUUAACUGUGGGCGUGCGGGCGAUACGGGCAGACUGGAGUACUGCAGGGGAGACUGGAAUUCCUGGUGUAGCGGUGGAAUGCGCAGAUAUCAGGAGGAACACCGGUGGCGAAGGCGGGUCUCUGGGCAACAACUGACGCUGAGGAGCGAAAGCGUGGGGAGCGAACAGG